rnacentral:rRNA from 1 species
CGCUAGUAAUCGCGGAUCAGCACGCCGCGGUGAAUACGUUCCCGGGC